GGUGAGGUCCUGGCAUGGCGGUGGGCCCAGGUUUAGAGGGCCACAAAUCUACACUGAAGCAACUUCACAAACGUUUGAGCUCAGUUCUGUGUCUGUAGCCACACGUCCCCCAGACAGAAGAGGCAAGCCUGGUGAGAGGUAGCGAGACUGCAUUCAUUAUCAUUAUCUAUAACUGUGUAAACAAUUCCCCAAAGCCUGCGCCUGAAACCAACACAAAUGCAUUAUCAUACGCUUUCUAUUGGUCAAGAGUUUAGGCAGAAUUUGCCUGGAGCUUCUGCCAAAUUUCAGUCAUGGCUGUGCUCCGGAGUUCGGGGCCAUAAGGAACUCUCAGCAGUCGCCAUGACAAUGUGCCAGGCAGGAUCUGGUUUCUGUGGGAGAAAUGGAAACGAAAGUGUGACAGUGGGCAAACGUGAGGUGCUUCUGCCAACCUCAAGAAACCCCACCAGUCAGUAACGGAGCCUUUCUCCAGUCUUUGUCUUUUAUCCUACAUCUUUUGACUUGGGUAUCCUUAUAAUGAAAAAUUGACAACGGGAAGACUUCAAAGUUAUUUGGCCAGAUUCUCCUGGCCACUUACCAUGCCAUCCAUCAUCUCCUCUCCAACCCCUCUGUCACUGUAAACAAAUGCCUAGUAGAAACAUCUGAGCGGGGAAGGGGAUUUGGGUAUAUCUGCAAGGUAUGGUGGAGUGCCUGGAGGGUGUGUGUGGAGAGGCCCCUCACUUCAUAGGAGAACAAGAAGCAGAGAGAUCUGGGAAGAAUCCAGUAACCUGCUUUCCCUAACCCCACCUCUUCUCCUAAGGGCUCCCCAGCAUCCCCACAGAACACCACCAGACAGGGAACAGCCAUUCAGAACACAAGUCUAUAUGGGAGAGUGCAGACUCAAAUGGUAACAUUCCCUCUAAGAGUGAGCUUUUAAAGUCAAUCUCCUUGACAAGCAAAUUUAUCUCUUCUGACUGGCAUAUGUCGUCACACUUGGCUUUUGAUGCAUUUUGAAUGAAAAUGACCCCCAAAGACUCAUAGGGAGUGGCACUAUUAGGAGU